rnacentral:lncRNA from 1 species
UUGGAACUAACAGUUUCUCUGGGGUAAAGGCUCCAUUGAAAUAGUUUGAAAAAGUCUAUUCAGUAAAACAGGGCUUCGGCAUGCAGUUACAGUUGGUAGAGAGGAGGAAGAGGCUAUUGGCAUGAUGCAAAUCCUACAAAUAAUAGGAAAACUUACAGGACAAAGGACAUGAACUGAAGCAUGAAAAUUCAAAUCUAGAAUUCUUGAAUAUAAGCUGAGUAGAACAAGGUAGGAGUGAUGUCAUCUUCGACAGCCACCUAAAUGUCUUCCAUACAAUAUU